GGAGGAAAAGAAACCAACAGGGAUUGCCUCAGUAACGGCGAGUGAAGCGGCAAAAGCUCAAAUUUGAAAUCUGGUUCGCCCGAGUUGUAAUUUGAAGAGGUUGUUUUGGAAGCGGCUCUUGUCUAUGUUCCUUGGAACAGGACGUCACAGAGGGUGAGAAUCCCGUGCGAUGAGAUGCCCGCUUCUAUGUAAAACGUCCUCGACGAGUCGAGUUGUUUGGGAAUGCAGCUCUAAGUGGGUGGUAAAUUCCAUCUAAAGCUAAAUAUUGGCGAGAGACCGAUAGCGAACAAGUACAGUGAUGGAAAGAUGAAAAGAACUUUGAAAAGAGAGUGAAAAAGAAUGUGAAAUUGUUGAAAGGGAAGGACUUGAGAUCAGACUUGGAGGAUUUAUCCUUCUGGGCCAGCAUCAGCUCGAGGGGCGGGAGAAUGGCGCAGGAAAGUAGCUCAUUGAGUGUUAUAGCCUGCGCUGAUGCCGCCACUUUGGGCUGAGGACUGC
rnacentral:rRNA from 1 species